GGCGCGACGGUGAGUACGCGUGGAUAUCUGCCUUUUGGUUCGGAAUAACCCCGGGAAACUGGGGCUAAUACCGGAUGGUUCCUACGGGAUAAAGAUUUAUCGCCAAAAGAUGAGUCCGCGUACGAUUAGCUAGUUGGUGAGGUAAUGGCUCACCAAGGCGACGAUCGUUAGCUGGUCUGAGAGGACGAUCAGCCACACUGGGACUGAGACACGGCCCAG
rnacentral:rRNA from 1 species